GCUACGGGAGGCAGCAGUGAGGAAUAUUGGUCAAUGGCCGGGAGGCUGAACCAGCCAAGUCGCGUGAGGGAAGACGGCCCUACGGGUUGUAAACCUCUUUUGUCAGGGAGCAAGGUGCAGGUCGGGACCUGCUGUGAGAGUACCUGAAGAAAAAGCAUCGGCUAACUCCGUGCCAGCAGCCGCGGUAAUAAGGAGGAAGCGAGUGUUAUCCGGAUUUAUUGGGUUUAAAGGGUGCGCAGGCGGCGGGACAAGUCAGCGGUAAAAUCGCGGGGCUCAACCCCGCUCCGACGUUGAGACUGGGGUCCUUGAGUGCGCGAAGGGUAGGCGGAAUUCGUGGUGUAGCGGUGAAAUGCAUAGAUAUCACGAAGAACCCCGAUUGCGAAGGCAGCUUACUAAACUGUGACUGACAUUGAUGCUCGAAAGUGUGGGUAUCAAACAGGAUUAGAUACCCGAGUAGUC
rnacentral:rRNA from 1 species